UACGUAAGGUCCGAGCGUUGUCCGGAAUUAUUGGGUGUAAAGGGCACGUAGGCGGAUAAGCAAGUUAGAAGUGAAAUCCUAUGGCUCAACUAUAGUAAGCUUUUAAAACUGCUCAUCUUGAGGUAUGGAAGGGAAAGUGGAAUUCCUAGUGUAGCGGUGAAAUGCGCAGAUAUUAGGAGGAAUACCGGUGGCGAAGGCGGCUUUCUGGCCAUUAUCUGACGCUGAGGUGCGAAAGCGUGGGUAGCAAACAGG
rnacentral:rRNA from 1 species